rnacentral:rRNA from 1 species
AUGGCUGGAUUCGCUGAUGCACUGAGGCCGGAUAAGUUUACCGAUGUGCACUUUAAGAGGUGGCAGGUGAAGACCACGCUCUGGCUUACUGCUCUGAAAGUUUUCCACGCUAGUGUUGGUGCUCCAGAGGGAAUGACCGACGAAGAUCGGAGAAAAUUCCAGGAAGCCAAUACUAUGUUUGUGGGAUGCAUUCUGAGUGUUCUUGCUGACCGUCUGUGUGAUGUGUACAUGCACAUAAACGACGGAAAAAUUCUGUGGGAUGCACUGAAUACAAAAUUCGGUGCAACAGAUGCAGGCAGUGAACUGUACAUCAUGGAGAGUUUUCAUGACUACAAGAUGGUGAAUAACCGUUCUGUGGUUGAACAAGCUCAUGAGAUACAGUGCAUUGUGAAGGAACUUGAACUCCUUAAAUGUGUUCUACCCGACAAAUUUGUGGCUGGGUGCAUGAUUGCAAAGUUGCCUCCUUCAUGGAGGAAUUUCGCCACAACUCUGAAGCAUAAGAGACAGGAGAUAUCAGUUGAAAAUCUGAUUGCAUCUCUUGAUGUUGAAGAAAAAGCUCGGGCUAAAGAUACCACUGGAAAAGGAGGUGAGGUUCAGCCUACUGCUAACAUGGUGCAGAGGUACCCACAGAACAAGAACAAAGGGAAGAACAAACCUGUUUUCAACAAGCCUACCAAGACUACUACCUUCAAGAAGAAGAAGUUCAACAAGGCUGAGCUAGAGUGCUACGCCUGUGGGAAGCCUGGACACUUUUCCAAGGAAUGCCCUGAACGUGCAGACCGCAGAGGGAAAACAAGCUCCAAGACUGUCAACAUGGUGACCGCUAGCAAUACUGAUGGGUAUGGUCGCAAGGGAUUCUUCCGUCCUAAUGGGGAAUGGGUCACAUGCUUAUGUUCGUGGCAUUGGCACGGUGGAUCUGAAGUUUACUUCGGGAAAGAUCAUGCAACUAAGGAACGUGCAGCAUGUCCCUACUAUGAACAAGAAUCUAGCUAUGAGUGCGGAGGCUUGUUCCGCUUUUCUCUUUUAGAUUUUUGCAAUAAGUCAAUAAACCAAAUUUGUGCUAAUGUUAAUGAUGAUGCAAGUAUUUGGCACUCUCGUUUAUGUCAUAUUAAUUUUGGUUUAAUGUCUCGGCUAUCCAGCAUGAGUUUAAUUCCGAACUUCACAGUUGCCAAAGGUUCUAAGUGCCAUAGUUGUGUGCAAUCUAAGCAACCUCGAAAGCCUCAUAAGGCUGCCGAGGAGACAAAUUUGGCACCUCUAGAACUCAUACAUUCUGAUCUUUGUGAGAUGAAUGGUGUGUUGACAAAAGGUGGAAAGAGAUAUUUCAUGACUUUGAUUGAUGAUGCGACUAGAUUUUGCUAUGUUUAUUUGUUGCAAACUAAAGAUGAAGCAUUAGACUACUUUAAAAUCUAUAAAGCUGAAGUUGAAAAUCAACUAGAGAGAAAGAUCAAGCGUCUUAGGUCCGAUCGUGGUGGAGAGUAUUUUCCAAAAGUUUUUGAUGAAUUUUGUGAGGAACAUGGUAUUAUUCAUGAGAGGACGCCUCCCUAUUCACCUCAAUCAAAUGGAGUGGCCGAGAGGAAAAACCGCACAUUGACUGACUUGGUGAAUGCCAUGUUAGACACUGCUGGUUUAUCUAAGGCAUGGUGGGGGGAGGCUCUAUUGACUUCAUGUCAUGUCCUAAAUAGAGUUCCCAACAAUAAUAAAGAGAAAACCCCUUAUGAGGAGUGGGUUGGGAGAAAACCAUCACUUUGUUAUUUGCGCACUUGGGGAUGUUUGGUAAAGGUCAAUAUUCCUAUUCCUAAGAAACGCAAACUUGGACCAAAGACAGUGGAUUGUGUCUUUCUAGGGUAUGCUCAACGGAGCAUUGCUUAUAGGUUUUUAGUGGUAAAAUCCGAAGUACCUGAUAUGCAUGUUGAUACUAUAAUGGAAUCUCGUGAUGCAACAUUUUUUGAGAACAUAUUUCCUAUGAAAGAUAUGCAUAGCAUUGCUAGAUUUUCUUCUGAGAUAAUUCCUGAAUCUAGUACAACUGAUGAGUAUUUCGAACAAUCACAUGAGGAAGUCCUUGAGAAGGAUAACAAUGAAGUUCCUAGAAGGAACAAGAGACAAAGGAUUGCAAAAUCCUUUGGUGAUGAUUUCAUUGUAUACCUUGUGGACGACACACCCAAGACAAUUGCAGAAGCAUAUGCAUCUCCGGAUGUAGAUGAUUGGAAAGAAGCUGUUCAUAAUGAGAUGGACUCAAUUCUUUCUAAUGGAACUUGGGAACUAACUGAUAGACCAUAUGGUUGUAAACCUGUGGGCUGUAAGUGGGUGUUUAAAAAGAAGCUAAAGCCUGAUGGUACUAUUGAUAAGUACAAGGCGCGGCUAGUGGCCAAGGGCUACACUCAGAAAGAAGGCGAAGAUUACUUUGACACCUAUUCACCCGUUGCUAGAAUGACCACCAUUCGAGUGUUACUUUCCUUGGCUGCCUCUUAUGGUCUUAUCAUUCAUCAAAUGGAUGUAAAGACAGCUUUUCUCAAUGGAGAGUUGGAAGAGGAGAUCUAUAUGGAUCAGCCUGACGGGUUUGUGGUAAAGGGUGAAGAGAGAAAGGUGUGCAAGUUGUUAAAAUCUUUGUAUGGUCUGAAACAGGCACCUAAGCAAUGGCAUGAGAAGUUUGAAAGAACUCUGACUUUUGCAGGAUUUGUCAUUAACGAGGCUGAUAGGUGUGUUUACUAUCGCCAUGGUGGGGGCAAUAGUGUCAUAUUAUGUUUGUAUGUGGACGACAUACUGAUCUUUGGUACAAACAUUAAUGCAAUUAAUGAGGUCAAGUCUUUUCUAUCAAAAAGUUUUGACAUGAAAGAUCUGGGAGAAGCCGAUGUAAUUCUAAACAUCAAACUUAUUAAGGAUGAGAGUGGGAUUACAUUAACGCAAUCUCACUAUGUUGAGAAGGUCUUGAACCGAUUCGGUUUUAUGGAUAGCAAGCCUUCUCCAACACCUUAUGAUCCCAGCGUGACACUCAGAAAGAACAAGAAAGAAACGAGAGAUCAAUUAAGAUACUCUCAAAUUGUCGGUUCACUCAUGUACUUAGCUAGCGCUACAAGACCAGAUAUCUCUUUUGCUGUGAGCAAACUGAGUAGGUUCAUGUCCAACCCGGGUGAUGAUCAUUGGCAUGCACUAGAAAGGGUCCUGCGCUAUCUGAGAGGUACUAUGAGUUACGGAAUUACUUAUUCAGGGCAUCCUGCUGUGCUAGAAGGAUAUAGUGAUUCAAAUUGGAUCUCCGAUGUUGAUGUACUUUACGCAACAAGUGGGUAUGUAUUUACUCAUGGUGGUGGCGCAGUGUCAUGGAGGUCUUGCAAGCAAACCAUAUUGACGAGGUCAACUAUGGAAGCAGAAUUAACUGCUUUGGACACAGCUACUGUUGAGGCAGAAUGGCUGCGUGAGCUCUUGAUGGACUUGCCGGUUGUUGAAAAACCUGUACCGGCUAUUCUUAUGAAUUGUGAUAACCAAACGGUUAUCGCUAAAGUGAACAAUUCUAAAGAUAAUGCAAAGUCAUCAAGACACGUGAAAAGACGUUUGAAGUCUGUCAGGAAGUUGAGAAACUCCGGAGUAAUAACUGUUACGUAUAUACAAACAGACAAAAACCUGGCAGAUCCCUUUACAAAGGGACUAUCACGAAAUGUGAUAGAUAUUGCAUCGAGGGAGAUGGGUAUGAGACCCAUA